UCAUGACCUGAGCCAAAGUCAGACGCUUAACUGACUGGGCCACCCAGGUACCCCAGUUUCAUCUUUUUUUAAUUAUUAUUUUAUUUUAUGUGAGUUCCAUCUUUCAGUGGGGAAACUGUGGCAAGUACCCGUUAAGCACAUUUCCCCAGGCAGCACAGCAGGUCAAGGGCAGAGCUGAAAUAAAAAUCCUAAUAUCUUUGGUUCCCCAGCACAACCUCCAUGCUGUCUUGAGAAAUUUCUGUCCUGAUCCCCUAGGAUUCCAACCCUACCGAAAGCUCAGCUUCCUCUUGUCCUCUGAGCAAGGCAGGUGUAGACUCAGCUCCACUCCAGAGUCUGCCCCCCAAAAGCACAGAGUGGUUCUCCAAGUGGUGAGUGCCAUCUAGCACCACUAGUGCUCAGCCCGGACGCUUCUGUGGACAGAGCCACCCCCUUCCCUCUAAGCUGUCCCAGGUGGCCACUGUCUCCCCACCGGGGACUUUGCAGAGCUCUACUGGAGAUCACCUUCUCUGAAGCUGGACAGCCCCAGAGACACAGCGGCAGCUGUGGCUUCCCUAACUCCUCCUCCAGGCUUCCACUGUCACAGUAACCCCGGGUGGUAUCAUUGCUCCUGUUUUACUCUUAAGUAUGCUGAACCUCAGGGAAGUGGCGUGUGGGGGUCACACAGCCUCACAGCAUGGGGAUUCCAAAACCCAUGCCUGUCAGUCCUAGAGGCCCUGAACAGCGCUGCCACUCUGUUCCAGCUGGCAAGGCUUCAGGGACUGCCCCCUUCCCCGGGGACUUGGCUCAUAUUCUAUGCAGCUUCUCUCGUCCCUGUCAAGGCAGCCUCCUGGAUACCAAAGUUCUGUCACUUCCACACAUUCCCAACACCUCCCAGGGCCCUGCAGACAAGGUUUCUUAAAGUUCCUUCUGUUAUAAUCUCCACUUGGAAUGAAGGAAAAGAAAGCAGGUGUCCACCUGUGUAUGGGGGAGUUUUAUUUAUUAUUAGAAUUUUGUCUCCCUGGAAAAAGAGAAGUCAUGUGAUUGUGUUUAGGGUUAGCUAAUGAAUACACUUUGAUUUGAAAUGUGCAAUGAGGGUGGCGGGGUGGCUCAGUCGUUAAGCUUCUGACUUUGGCUCAGGUCAUGAUCUCACAGUUGGUGAGUUUGAGUCCCACAUCAGGUGAGCACAAGCCCCGCACUGGGUGAGCUCAUGCCAUGCAUUGGAUGAGCCUCGCUUUGGGUGAGCUCAAGCCCUGCAUCCGGUAAAAACAUGAGCCCUGGGUGAGCCCCACUUUUCUCUCUGUUUCUUUCUCUGUCUCUGUCUCUCUCUCUGUCUCUCUCUCUUUCUACCCCUUGUGGGAUUCUCUCCCUCUCUGCCCCUCACUUACUUGUGCCCUCUCUCUCUCUAAAAAAAACAAAAAAUGAAAUGUGCAGUGAAUCACAGUUAAUUGUGUGUUGGUCAUUGAGAUCUGGCCCAAAGAACACUUUUCAUUCCUUGGGUAUUACCAAGGAGGCCUUCCUAAGUAUGGGAACAUAGCUACUUUGGUGCUGAUUGGAUUUCCUGCCUCUCUGGGUCUUAGGAAGAAAUAAGACAGUGAGAACUGAUUUAGGUGAAUUGUUUUAGGCAGCAAGUAACCAAAUAUCUGACCAAAAUGGUUUUAGUUAUAGGGGUUUUUAUCAGGUCACACAACCAGAGGUCCAUAUGAGACCUAGGGCAGGUCCAUAUGAGACCGAGGCUUUUCUUGUCUGUCCAACUGCCUGGCGGCCAUGCUGGCCCUAAUAUUACAGGAUGGCUGCCCAGCUCCCAGGUGGCCAGGCAGGGAGGGGCAUUCAGGAGGAAUAUAUUCCCCAGUGCCCCACCCCUGGCAGGUUUCCUUGUGGUCUCAUUGGCCAGAGCAGGGUUACAUGCCCAGCCCUAGACCAAUCACUGGCAAGACAGAGUGGGAUUACCACAAUAGAUCUCAUCCCCUGGGGUUUGGCACAGUCCCACCCAAAAUAGAAGGGAGAAGAAGGCAAUAGCUGCUGGGGAGCCGUGAACAGCAGGGUGACCUCAAGAAGGUAGCCAGCAGAACUGGUCUUGAAAUUAUAGCCUGGGAACUGCCACAUGGGGCUGGAGACCAGGGGGUGGGGGUGGAAACAGGUCUGGUUUCAGCAGGGUCUGACACCUUCAAUGUGUUAUAGCCUCCCUGUUCAGAUGAUGCUCUGAGGUCCAACCUUAGUCCUGACUCUCCACAAGACAGGAGAGGUGGGGACCCUUACAGAGGAGCCAGAUUUCGUGCAGGUGAAAUGUCACAUCGCUGGAGUGCUGUUGUGGUGAAGAGUGUGGGCUGUGGAGCCAUGUGGAUUGAGUUUGAGUGGGCUGUGCAAUCCUGGGCAGGUUACUUCAUUUCUCAGUGCUUGAGUUUUCUCAUCUGGAAAUGGGAGCGAUAGGAUUUACCUUUUGCAGACCCAGGAGGACAGCACCCUGGUUUAAAAUCUCUGCUUCUUGUUGCAGAGCCUAUGGUAUGUGGUGUCCCUUUGCAGAACCCCUUGGCAAACAUUUUCCCAGAGUGAGUCACCUCUUCUCUGAGCACUGCGAGACAGCCUCUGGACCUGCUCCAGAUCACCUCUCCUGGCGUGUGCUUUCCCUCGCUCCUCGCUCUCAGAGCUGGACACGCACAGGAAGUCCGAGCCAGUGUCCACUCUUCAAGGUCAGCCUGAAGGGCAAGUUGAGCCCUGGGAGGCUGGCGGGGUCUCUCCCGGCAUCCCUCCCCCUCCAACUUCUUCCUGAGCUGCCCGGUUUUGGCUGGCGCCUUCCCUCACCAGCCUUUCAGCUUGUUGAGAAGAAUGAGCUGCUUGAAGGACACUUUACAACUCCAUAAAUAAUCAGGAUGUGGAGCACACAGGAUGGGAGUCCACACUCUCCGAGUGGAUGGAGGCGGCUGGGCGCUGGCUCUGAUUCUCAUCCCAGGGCCCAUUGUCCCAGCACCUUUUCCUCCACGGAGCUGCUUGUAGCUCACCGGGAGGGGGGGUGGUGGUUGUCAGCACCUCCUCCCACCCCUGGCUGAUUUUCCUCCUGGAGGAGUGGAGGCCAGUGAACAGCAGAGCGCUUGCUGCCCAAUGAGAGCCAGAGGUCCAGGCCGAGUGGGUAAACAGCCACUUUAGAGAGUUUUUCUGCAGACGCAGAGAGGGAUGCCCAGGAAUCGAUCCCUUCUGAAGAUGAAUCACAGUGAGAUGCACAAAGAAAACCCCUUUGGUCUGAAAAGGCAGAUAAUGUUCCUGACAGGGCCUCUACUGUGUGUCAAUUUGUUGUGAUUGGUGGGAGGAAGCCGGGGGUGUCAGGAAGGAGAGGGUGCUACAGAGAGCUGGAUGGCACCAGAGAUGCAUGUGGAAAGAGAGACACCGAGGCUGUGAUAGGGAGACAGAGAGAGCAGGAGAAGCAGAAAACAGAGAAAACGGGACAGCUGUUAGGAGAUUCAGAAUGGAGGGCAGAGGUGUUUUCUUAGAUUUUUGGUGAGGAGGGUGGGGGUUACUGGGCGCUGGGAGACUCUCAAAUGUUAAGCUGGCAUUCAGGUCACAUUAGGCUCGUGUUCAUUGCUAACAUUUAACUCAAACCAUUGGUCAGCUCCCAGUUACCAGUGAUAGCAUGUAGCUUCUCCAUGGGUCCAAGGGGGUCGCCCUGCUAUUACAGAUAUUUGUGUGGGUCGGGGAGAGACAGGGGCAGGCAGAGAAAGAGAUUCAUGUUGCAUCUGAGGGCCAGCCAGACUAAGUUUGAUUUAUCUUUUCCUUUAGAAUUAGCAAUGGUUGUCUAUCUUGUUCAGGUAAUUAAGAGGUAACUGUGGGGGAACUCAUGGAAUGUCUGCCUAUCCUCGAUGUAAGACAAAAUCAGCCUUUUUCUAAUUAUAAUCUUAGAGCUGGAGAAUCUCAGAAUGUGGUUCAGCAGAGUUGGGCAGAAACGCCACGUCUUCCAGCUCAGCCCUUCCAUUGCAUGGAUGGAAGGACAGAGGCACAGAGAGCCACGGGUGCCCUCUGCUUCCACCUGCUCGGGUGAGCAGACAAAAGUGCCCAUGGCCCUCCAGGGACAGAGACAGAGCAUCCCCAUGGCAGAGCUUUGUCAAUUCCAAAUCCUCCUCUCUUCUGCCUCCCGCUGACUGGUGCUAAUGCUUUUUAUUUCUAGCCCCUCCCAGACCCUGCAGGGUGUCUGAGGAGCGGACCCCAGAGACCAAUGAAGAAAAGCAUCCAUCUUUAACAUUUAUACAAACUGUCUUCUCCUUGGUGCUUUUGGAAGUGUCCCAUCAGACAUGGGGAAAGGGUGGAAGAAAUACAUUGAGAGGCCAGCUUGUGAGGCAGGUCCUCUGGAGACCCGGGAAGGUAGAGUGGCUAUUUCUGUGACCAUGUCAGGAAGCCCAUGGCCCCUGCAGUGCUGGUUCUUAACCAUGGGCAAUUUUGGUGAUGCCUGGAGACGUUCCUGGAUGUCACACUGGGAGGUGCUAUAGGCAUCUAGUGGGUAGGGAAGAGUGAUGUUGUUAAAUGCCCCACAAUGUAGGAUCAGCCUCUGCAACAAAGAAUGCUUCUACCCUAAACGUCCCCUCUGUCUCUCUCUGCUCAUUUGACAGCAUGACCUUUCCAAAAAGAGGAGACUCAUUUUUUAGUGGUGCUCCAGGAGCUGACUUGCCUGCCAGAACCCCAGACUAGUUCUCCAAGGUCAUUUGUAGGAGACAUGUUCACUAACCAGGGUGGCUUUCUGUGAGGAUCUUCCCUUUGUCCUGAGCACAGGAGGGAGGAGGGAGAGAGGUCAACCCAGUGUCCUGUCCUCUUAUCUUCUUUCCUUGUCAUCCUUACCUUUUAUGGUCUUACCCUCAUCCUCCUCCUUAUCCAUGUUCCUCUGUUCCAGCUCCUUCUGGUCUAGGUCCUGGCCAGGUGUCCUCUGAUUUUCCUGAUGCCUCUCUCCUGCCCAAAGCUAAAUAUUGUGCAGAACAAAGCAAAAGGUGUCAUCCUAUCUCCUUGGAACUUGUAGACAAUUGCCACCAGCCUCACACCCUACAGAUUGGUGUAUUGUGUCCAGGUGUUGAGAUCCUGCAGAAAUCGGCCCAUGGCCCAGGGUCCCCAGCACAUCCCCCUGGCUCCAGAGCAUAACCCCAGGGUGGCCUCAUGGCACUGACCCUUCCCCUGACCACUCCACCUGUUGAUAGGUAAGGGACUCAAGCAACUGCUUAAGGAUGCUGCUAGAACAGAGGCCAUAAACAUGAGACAUGGCUGUACUAUUUACUGGCGUGUGUGACUCAGGCAGCAAAAGUGUGACCAUUUGUCAUGUGGAGUGGCAACGGGAUGGCCAGACAGGAACAUUUUUUUCCUCCAUCUCUGUGAAUACAAAGCCUUUUCCACCCCAGAUGAGUAUCCUGUGAGCUCAGGGAGCUCCGAGUAUGGACUGAAGCCCAAACACAGAGAAGUUUUGGAACCUGAGUUCCUGACUCUGUGGAGACACCGGAUUCAGAAAUGUUAGCAGUGGCAUCGGAUCUAAAUUCUGCAGGACACUGGGGAGGGAAUGAUCUUGACUGAUUCACAAUUUUCUCAUCUGCCAAAUGGGGAUUGAAGCAUUGACCUGUCCGUGUCAUAGGUUGUUGUGAAGCAUGAAUGGUCGGUGUAAGAGUUAUGCUAAGUGACAGGUGUGAAGGUUCUACAUCAUGCCUCAUCUGUCGCAGACACCUGCAAGUGUUUGCUUCCGUUCUUAUCAGCGGAUCUGGUUUCCAUCCCCUGUCUGUAGUCCCAGCUGUGGGAGAGCUCCUUCUCCUUGCUCUGGGUCAACUCUGGGCUCACUUUAUCAGCAGUCCUAAAACCAUUUGGUCACAGGACCUCUUUGCACUGUUGCAUGCUAUUGAGGACUCCAAAGAGCUUCCACUUAUGUGAGUUCCUUCUACUUUUAUCAACUGAGAAAUUUAACAAAUAUCUAUUAUUUUUAAAUAGUAAUAACAAACCCAUCACUAGUUAACAUAAAUUGUAUUUUAUGAAAAGUAGCUGUAUUUUACAAAAUAAGUUUGUAAACAGAGUGACCUUGUACAUUUUUGGAAAUCUCUUUAGUGUCUGCCUUAUUUGAAGACAGCUGGAUUCUCAUGUCUGUUUCUGCAAGCAGUGUGUUGUGAGGUCACAUGUCAUGCAGCCUCUGGAACACGCUACUGCACAUUCAUGACAGAACAAGAGUGAAAAAGGCAAGUCACAUCUCAGUUUGAUUAUAAAAAACAAUUGUGACCUUAUAGUUUCCCAGAGGUCCCGGACCACACUUUGAGAACCCCUGCAUUAGCUGAACAUUGAACUCUCUCCCUGCUCAGGCAGGCUGUGCUUCUCUACACUUCUGUGACUAUCUCUGAAAAAUUAAAAUUGACUAAGACAAAAACAAGCAGUCGACUUCCUCAAAUUUCUCUCCUGGGACACGUGCU